CCCACUCUCUCUCUAAUACCCUCUCAUUCCUUUACUCUUUCUCUGCCUUCUCUCUACCAAAUUCACCCAAAGAAUUUCUGCAGUAGGUCUAAUCCUCUUCCCUGUUGCAGAAUUUAGGGCUGAAGCAAGAUCAGAACCACUUCCCCAAGCUGAGUCUUCCUUUCCUACGCUGCCUUAGGUUGGGAGUUUGAGGUAUUCUCUUUGGUUGAAGAGUCAAUUCUAGUGGAAAUUCCAAAGGGCCAAGUCCAGAUGAUGAUGCCCCUCUCUCUAGCAGGAGCUGAGUGAUCGCUGAAUAGUUCCAUGGUAGUUCUCAUGGAUUAGAUACCAUGUAGU